rnacentral:rRNA from 1 species
UACGUAGGGGGCAAGCGUUGUCCGGAUUUACUGGGCGUAAAGGAUGCGUAGGUGGAUAUUUAAGUGGGAUGUGAAAUACCCGAGCUCAACUUGGGUGCUGCAUUCCAAACUGGAUAUCUAGAGUGCAGGAGAGGUAAGUGGAAUUCCUAGUGUAGCGGUGAAAUGCGUAGAGAUUAGGAAGAACACCAGUGGCGAAGGCGACUUACUGGACUGUAACUGACACUGAGGCAUGAAAGCGUGGGGAGCAAACAGG